ensembl:lncRNA
CCCUGAUAUCAGACCUAUCCCCCUCCCUAAUGUCACCCCUGAUAUCAGAUCUAUCCCCUCCCUAAUGUCACCCCUGAUAUCAGUGGUGGGAGACAGUGUGUGAUUGGCUACUAUACUGUUGACAGAGGUUGGUGGGAGACGGUGUGUGAUUGGCUACUAUACUGUUGACAGAGGUUGGUGGGAGACGGUGUGUGAUUGGCUACUAUACUGUUGACAGAGUUUGGUGGGAGACGGUGUGUGAUUGGCUACUAUACUGUUGACAGAGUUUGGUGGGAGACGGUGUGUGAUUGGCUACUAUACUGUUGACAGAGGUUGGUGGGAGAUGGUGUGUGAUUGGCUACUAUACUGUUGACAGAGGUUGGUGGGAGAUGGUGUGUGAUUGGCUACUAUACUGUUGACAGAGGUGGGUGGGGGAUGGUGUGUGAUUGGCUACUAUACUGUUGACAGAGGUGGGUGGGAGACGGUGUGUGAUUGGCUACUAUACUGUUGACAGAGGUGGGUGGGGGAUGGUGUGUGAUUGGCUACUAUACUGUUGAUCCACUUCCAACACUUGUUUUGUCUUGGAACGAACAGACAACAGGACAUCUGGAACGAACAGACAGGGUGUUCCGCUCUCAUGCUCGGGGGUGCAUUCUCCGACCACGUUCUCUUGAGUACGUUCAUGUGAGGACAAAGUGUGGAGAAUGUAAAAAAACAAACAUUCAAUUUGAGAAGCAUUCCCCUCUUGUGUAUUACCCCACGCUGAGCAGCACUCCCCUACUGUAUUACCCCACGCUGAGCAGCACUCCCCUACUGUAUUACCUCACACUGAGCAGCACUCCCCCUACUGUAUUACCCCACGCUGAGCAGCACUCCCCUACUGUAUUACCUCAGCAC